rnacentral:rRNA from 1 species
ACGCACGUGUGAAACUUGAAGGAAUUGACGGAAGGGCACCACAAGAACGCGUGGAGCAUGUGGCUUAAUUUGACCCAACGCGGGAAAUCUUACCGGGUCCGGACACACUGAGGAUUGACAGGCAAUAUUAGCAAUUCAUUCGGUCUCUCGGGGCUGUUUUGUGUUGUUAUGUUAAAUAUGCUAGUCCUUUCAUGAUUAUGUGAUAGGUGGUGCAUGUCCGUUCUUAGUUCGUGGAGUGAUCUGUCUGCUUAAUUGCGUUUCACUAAGGGCCUAUAAUUAUAACGUGUGUUGCGGCACUUUGACCCCUCUUCGGAGCGCGCGUCUUAGUUUGUUUAGCUCGACGACAAUUAGGUCCUGAAAGCAACGAACGUGACCG